GUAAGCUACUAAGAGCGAAUGGUGGAUGCCUUGACUGGUAAAGGCGAUGAAGGACGUACUAGACUGCGAUAAGCUACGGGGAGCUGUCAAGAAGCUUUGAUCCGUAGAUUUCCGAAUGGGGCAACCCAAUGUAUAGAGAUAUACAUUACCUAUAUAGGAGCGAACGAGGGGAAUUGAAACAUCUUAGUACCCUCAGGAAAAGAAAUCAAUAGAGAUUGCGUCAGUAGCGGCGAGCGAAAGCGCAAGAGGGCAAACCCAGUGCUUGCACUGGGGGUUGUAGGACUGCAAUGUGCAAGAGGUGAGUUUAGCAGAACAUUCUGGAAAGUAUAGCCAUAGAGGGUGAUAGUCCCGUAUGCGAAAAACAAACCUUAGCUAGCAGUAUCCUGAGUAGGGCGGGACACGAGAAAUCCUGUCUGAAGCUGGGUCGACCACGAUCCAACCCUAAAUACUAAUACCAGAUCGAUAGUGCACAAGUACCGUGAGGGAAAGGUGAAAAGAACUGAGGUGAUCAGAGUGAAAUAGAACCUGAAACCAUUUGCUUACAAUCAUUCAGAGCCCUAUGUAGCAAUACAGGGUGAUGGACUGCCUUUUGCAUAAUGAGCCUGCGAGUUGUGGUGUCUGGCAAGGUUAAGCAAACGCGAAGCCGUAGCGAAAGCGAGUCUGAAUAGGGCGCUUAGUCAGAUGCUGCAGACCCGAAACGAAGUGAUCUAUCCAUGAGCAAGUUGAAGCUAGUGUAAGAACUAGUGGAGGACUGAACCCAUAGGCGUUGAAAAGCCCCGGGAUGACUUGUGGAUAGGGGUGAAAGGCCAAUCAAACUUCGUGAUAGCUGGUUCUCUCCGAAAUAUAUUUAGGUAUAGCGUUGUGUCGUAAUAUAAGGGGGUAGAGCACUGAAUGGGCUAGGGCAUACACCAAUGUACCAAACCCUAUCAAACUCCGAAUACCUUAUAUGUAAUCACAGCAGUCAGGCGGCGAGUGAUAAAAUCCGUCGUCAAGAGGGAAACAACCCAGACUACCAGCUAAGGUCCCUAAAUCUUACUUAAGUGGAAAACGAUGUGAAGUUACUUAAACAACCAGGAGGUUGGCUUAGAAGCAGCCAUCCUUUAAAGAAAGCGUAAUAGCUCACUGGUCUAGUGAUUUUGCGCGGAAAAUAUAACGGGGCUAAAGUAAGUACCGAAGCUGUAGACUUGCGCACAACUUAGAUUAUUUAAGUUUAGAAUAUGAGAAACUAAGUUAUAUGUUUAGUUAUAUUUUUACUGAUUUUUAUAGAGUAAAGAUAGAAAUAAAACUUAGUAAAAUCAGUAAAAAUAUUCUUAGACUAAAGUUAAGUAGUUUAAGUUGUGUGCAAGUGGUAGGAGAGCGUUCUAUUUGCGUCGAAGGUAUACCGGUAAGGAGUGCUGGAGCGAAUAGAAGUGAGCAUGCAGGCAUGAGUAGCGAUAAUUAAUGUGAGAAUCAUUAACGCCGUAAACCCAAGGUUUCCUACGCGAUGCUCGUCAUCGUAGGGUUAGUCGGGUCCUAAGUCGAGUCCGAAAGGGGUAGACGAUGGCAAAUUGGUUAAUAUUCCAAUACCAACAUUAGUGUGCGAUGGAAGGACGCUUAGGGCUAAGGGGGCUAGCGGAUGGAAGUGCUAGUCUAAGGUCGUAGGAGGUUAUACAGGCAAAUCCGUAUAACAAUACUCCGAGAACUGAAAGGCUUUUUGAAGUCUUCGGAUGGAUAGAAGAACCCCUGAUGCCGUCGAGCCAAGAAAAGUUUCUAAGUUUAGCUAAUGUUGCCCGUACCGUAAACCGACACAGGUGGGUGGGAUGAGUAUUCUAAGGCGCGUGGAAGAACUCUCUUUAAGGAACUCUGCAAAAUAGCACCGUAUCUUCGGUAUAAGGUGUGGUUCGCUUCGUAUUAGGAUUUACUCCGAAAGCGAAGAAACUUACAACAAAGAGUCCCUCCCGACUGUUUACCAAAAACACAGCACUCUGCUAACUCGUAAGAGGAUGUAUAGGGUGUGACGCCUGCCCGGUGCUCGAAGGUUAAUUGAUGGGGUUAGCAUUAGCGAAGCUCUUGAUCGAAGCCCGAGUAAACGGCGGCCGUAACUAUAACGGUCCUAAGGUAGCGAAAUUCCUUGUCGGUUAAAUACCGACCUGCAUGAAUGGCGUAACGAGAUGGGAGCUGUCUCAAAGAGGGAUCCAGUGAAAUUGUAGUGGAGGUGAAAAUUCCUCCUACCCGCGGCAAGACGGAAAGACCCCGUGGACCUUUACUACAGCUUGACACUGCUAUUUGGAUAAGAAUGUGCAGGAUAGGUGGGAGGCUUUGAGUAUAUGACGCCAGUUGUAUAUGAGCCAUUGUUGAGAUACCACUCUUUCUUAUUUGGGUAGCUAACCAGCUUGAGUUAUCCUCAAGUGGGACAAUGUCUGGUGGGUAGUUUGACUGGGGCGGUCGCCUCCCAAAUAAUAACGGAGGCUUACAAAGGUUGGCUCAGAACGGUUGGAAAUCGUUCGUAGAGUAUAAAGGUAUAAGCCAGCUUAACUGCAAGACAUACAAGUCAAGCAGAGACGAAAGUCGGUCUUAGUGAUCCGGUGGUUCUGUGUGGAAGGGCCAUCGCUCAAAGGAUAAAAGGUACCCCGGGGAUAACAGGCUGAUCUCCCCCAAGAGCUCACAUCGACGGGGAGGUUUGGCACCUCGAUGUCGGCUCAUCGCAUCCUGGGGCUGGAGCAGGUCCCAAGGGUAUGGCUGUUCGCCAUUUAAAGCGGUACGCGAGCUGGGUUCAGAACGUCGUGAGACAGUUCGGUCCCUAUCUGCCGUGGGCGUAAGAAGAUUGAAGAGAUUUGACCCUAGUACGAGAGGACCGG
rnacentral:rRNA from 1 species